rnacentral:rRNA from 1 species
UACGAGAGGCCCAAACGUUAUUCGGAUUUACUGGGCUUACAGAGUUCGUCGGCGGUCCAUCAAGUGGGGUGUGAAAUCCCUCGGCUCAACCGAGGAAUUGCGCUCCAAACUGUUGGGCUCGAGGGAGAUAGAGGUGAGCGGAACUGAUGGUGGAGCGGUGAAAUGCGUUGAUAUCAUCAGGAACACCAGAGGCGAAGGCGGCUCACUGGGUCUCUUCUGACGCUGAGGAACGAAAGCUAGGGGAGCAAACAGG